UACGGAGGGGGCGAGCGUUGUUCGGAUUCAUUGGGCGUAAAGGGGGCCUAGGUGGCAAGGUAAGUCGGAUGUGAAAUCCCACGGCUCACCCGUGGAACUGCGUUCGAAACUGCCUCGCUUGAGUACGGGAGAGGAGAGUGGAAUUCUCAGUGUAGCGGUGGAAUGCGUAGAUAUUGAGAAGAACACCGGUGGCGAAGGCGACUCUCUGGCCCGUUACUGACGCUGAAGCCCGAAAGCCAGGGGAGCGAACGGGAUUAGAUACCCCGGUA
rnacentral:rRNA from 1 species